rnacentral:rRNA from 1 species
UACGUAGGGACCAAGCGUUGUUCGGAUUUACUGGGCGUAAAGGGCGCGUAGGCGGCAUAUUAAGUCAGCCGUGAAAUCUCCGAGCUUAACUCGGAACUGUCAGCUGAUACUGAUGUGCUAGAGUGCAGAAGGGGCAAUCGGAAUUCUUGGUGUAGCGGUGAAAUGCGUAGAUAUCAAGAGGAACACCUGAGGUGAAGACGGGUUGCUGGGCUGACACUGACGCUGAUAGCGCGAAAGCCAGGGGAGCAAACGGG